CAGAAACGGAGGCGAAGGCGCUGCUGAAGGAACGGCAGAAGAAGGACAACCACAACCUGAUCGAGCGGCGCCGGCGCUUCAACAUCAACGACCGGAUCAAGGAACUGGGGACCCUCAUCCCGAAAUCCAACGACCCGGAGAUGCGGUGGAACAAGGGCACGAUCCUGAAGGCGUCGGUGGAUUACAUCCGCAAGCUGCAGAAGGAGACCCAGCGCUCCCGGGAGCUGGAGCUGCACCAGCAGCGCCUGGAGCAGGCCAACCGCAGCCUCCAGCUGCGCGUCCAGGUCUGGGGGAGGGGAA